AAGUUAUUAUUAUUAUUGAACGCAGGUGG
rnacentral:piRNA from 1 species